rnacentral:tRNA from 1 species
UCCCUGGUGGUCCACUGGCUAAGACUCUGCACUCCCAGUGCACUGGACCCGGGUUUGAUUCCUGGUCAGUGAA